rnacentral:tRNA from 1 species
GCCGCGCUUCGCGCGGACCCGUUGGCGCGGCUCCUCAGGAUGAGGAGAGAGGUUGGUGCCGGGCCUCGCGGGUGCGAACCUCGCGUCCGCCGC